UACGUAGGGGGCUAGCAUUGUCCGGAUUUAUUGGGCGUAAAGAGCGUGUAGGCGGCCAGAUAGGUCUGCUGUGAAAACUCGAGGCUCAACCUCGAGAUGUCGGCGGAAACCAUUUGGCUAGAGUCCGGAAGAGGAAAGUGGAAUUCCUGGUGUAGCGGUGAAAUGCGCAGAUAUCAGGAAGAACACCCGUGGCGAAGGCGGCUUUCUGGGACGGUACUGACGCUGAGACGCGAAAGCGUGGGGAGCGAACAGG
rnacentral:rRNA from 1 species